rnacentral:rRNA from 1 species
CGUUGCCUGCACCUGCCGGCGACCGGCGCAUGGGUGAGUAACACGUAUGGAACCUGCCCGCCACAGGGGGAUAACCCGGGGAAACCCGGCCUAAUACCCCAUGCCGCCCGGACCGGGCAUCCGGUCCGGGCGAAAGGAGGAAUCCGGUGGCGGCUGGGCAUGCGGCGCAUUAGCUUGACGGCGGGGUAACGGCCCACCGUGGCGACGAUGCGUAGGGGUUCUGAGAGGAAGGCCCCCCACACUGGAACUGAGACACGGUCCAGACUCCUACGGGAGGCAGCAG